rnacentral:rRNA from 1 species
GAUGAACGCUAGCGGCGGGCUUAAUACAUGCAAGUCAAGGGGUAGCAAUACACCGGCGUACGGGUGCGUAACGCGUAUGGAACCUGCCCUUAUCUGGGGGAUAACUCGGGGAAACUCGAGCUAAUACCGCAUAAGAUAGUAGAAUGGCAUCAUUCAGCUAUUAAAGAUUUAUCGGAUAAGGAUGGCCAUGCGUAAGAUUAGAUAGUUGGUGGGGUAACGGCUCACCAAGCCUACGAUCUUUAGGGGCUCUGAGAGGAGAAUCCCCCACACUGGCACUGAGAUACGGGCCAGACUCCUACGGGAGGCAGCAGUAGGGAAUAUUGGGCAAUGGGCGGAAGCCUGACCCAGCCACGCCGCGUGCAGGAAGAAGGCCCUCUGGGUUGUAAACUGCUUUUGAUUGGGAAGAAAGCAUCUCAUGCGUGGGAUUUUGACGGUACCAAUCGAAUAAGCCACGGCUAACUACGUGCCAGCCGCCGCAGUAACAC